ensembl:snRNA U1 U1 spliceosomal RNA
AUACUUACCUGGCAGGGGAGAUACCAUGAUCACGAAGGUGGUUUUCCCAGGGCGAGGCUUAUCCAUUGCACUCCGGAUGUGCUGACCCCUGCGAUUUCCCCAAAUGUGGGAAACUCGACUGCAUAAUUUGUGGUAGUGGGGACUGCGUUCGCGCUUUCCCCUG